rnacentral:rRNA from 1 species
UACGUAGGGGGCAAGCGUUGUCCGGAUUUAUUGGGCGUAAAGAGCGUGUAGGCGGCUUUACAGGUCCGUUGUGAAAACUCGAGGCUCAACCUCGAGACGUCGGUUGAAACCGUUUGGCUAGAGUCCGGAAGAGGAGAGUGGAAUUCCCGGUGUAGCGGUGAAAUGCGCAGAUAUCGGGAAGAACACCCGUGGCGAAGGCGGCUCUCUGGGACGGUACUGACGCUGAGACGCGAAAGCGUGGGGAGCGAACAGG